AGUUAAUAAGCUUUAAGCAGUAUAACUUGAAAUUAUAAGAAAGUAAAAAAUACUAUUAACUU
rnacentral:tRNA from 1 species